rnacentral:rRNA from 1 species
AUUGAACGCUGGCGGAAUGCUUUACACAUGCAAGUCGAACGGUAGAGGGGGCAACCCCUCGAGAGUGGCGAACGGGUGAGUAAUAUAUCGGAACGUGCCCAGUCGUGGGGGAUAACGUAGCGAAAGUUACGCUAAUACCGCAUACGAUCUACGGAUGAAAGCGGGGGAUCGCAAGACCGCGCGCGAUUGGAGCGGCCGAGAUCAGAUUAGGUAGUUGGUGGGGUAAAGGCUCACCAAGCCAACGAUCUGUAGCUGGUCUGAGAGGACGACCAGCCACACUGGAACUGAGACACGGUCCAGACUCCUACGGGAGGCAGCAGUGGGGAAUUUUGGACAAUGGACGCAAGUCUGAUCCAGCCAUUCCGCGUGCAGGAUGAAGGCCCUCGGGUUGUAAACUGCUUUUGUACGGAACGAAAAGGUCUCUCUUAAUACGGGGGGCUCAUGACGGUACCGUAAGAAUAAGCACCGGCUAACUACGUGCCAGCAGCCGCCGUAA